GGUGUUGCGAUGAUUAGAAGAUAAUUCCUCGUUCUGAAUGCUUCUAUGCAUGACAGACUCCUUUUACACCCAUAGAAUAUGAGUUCA